GCCUCCAAUAGCUCAACUGGAAGAGCAUGGGACUGUAACAGAUCAUUUGGCUUUCCCAAGGUUGCUGGUUCGACCCCGCUUCUGAGGCA